AUUGAACGCUGGCGGCAUGCCUUACACAUGCAAGUCGAACGGUAACAGGUUAAGCUGACGAGUGGCGAACGGGUGAGUAAUGUAUCGGAACGUGCCCAGUCGUGGGGGAUAACUGCUCGAAAGAGCGGCUAAUACCGCAUACGACCUGAGGGUGAAAGCGGGGGAUCGCAAGACCUCGCGCGAUUGGAGCGGCCGAUAUCAGAUUAGGUAGUUGGUGAGGUAAAGGCUCACCAAGCCGACGAUCUGUAGAUGGUCUGAGAGGACGACCAGCCACUGGGACUGAGACACGGCCCAGACUCCUACGGGAGGCAGCAGUGGGGAAUUUUGGACAAUGGGCGCAAGCCUGAUCCAGCCAUGCCGCGUGCGGGAAGAAGGCCUUCGGGUUGUAAACCGCUUUUGUCAGAGAAGAAAAGGUUCUGGCUAAUACCUGGGACUCAUGACGGUACCUGAAGAAUAAGCACCGGCUAACUACGUGCCAGCCGCCGCAGUAA
rnacentral:rRNA from 1 species